GGAUGUAGUGGUACAACUGCACGUGUUUGUGGUGUACAACGUGCCAUAUGUAGUACUGGGUGUCAAAGAGAAGAAGAGCCAAGCCGUCCACAAAAACUUCGCCGAGCGCCGGAGCUUCCUGGGGGGGCAACCCUGGCAGAGGUCCAUAACUGCAAAAGGUGUGCUAAAAAUGACAUAGCUGGAAAAAGCGAGCAGGACCGGGAAUAGAGGAGACGAGAUGAGAUGCCGGUGGUGAAUAAGCAGAUGGUUCCAGAGAGGCUGGAGGAGAUGAUCGGAAUGGUUAUAGCCAAGUCCUCCCUCCCAGUGGCUGGUGUGAGCACCUCUGGUCAUCAUGUUGCCACAGCUGACGCACGGCUUCCCGUUGCUGUAAGGCUGCACAAACAAAUGAAGUCAGGAGACAGUUUUGGGUGGUGUUCUGGUAUCAUCAACCCGAG